GACGAACGCUGGCGGCGUGCCUAAUACAUGCAAGUCGAGCGGUCCUUUCGGGGAUAGCGGCGGACGGGUGAGUAACACGUAGGCAACCUGCCUGUAAGACUGGGAUAACUACCGGAAACGGUAGCUAAUACCGGAUAUGCAAGAGAAUCGCAUGGUUCUUUUGGGAAAGACGGAGUAAUCUGUCACUUACGGAUGGGCCUGCGGCGCAUUAGCUAGUUGGUGGGGUAACGGCUCACCAAGGCGACGAUGCGUAGCCGACCUGAGAGGGUGAACGGCCACACUGGGACUGAGACACGGCCCAGACUCCUACGGGAGGCAGCAGUAGGGAAUCUUCCGCAAUGGACGAAAGUCUGACGGAGCAACGCCGCGUGAGUGAUGAAGGUUUUCGGAUCGUAAAGCUCUGUUGCCAGGGAAGAACGUUUGGUAGAGUAACUGCUAUCAAAGUGACGGUACCUGAGAAGAAAGCCCCGGCUAACUACGUGCCAGCCGCCGCCGUAACAC
rnacentral:rRNA from 1 species